CUACCAUGCAAGUCGAACGAUGAUCCCAGCUUGCUGGGGGAUUAGUGGCGAACGGGUGAGUAACACGUGAGUAACCUGCCCUUGACUCUGGGAUAAGCCUGGGAAACUGGGUCUAAUACCGGAUACGACCAUUCCACGCAUGUGGUGGUGGUGGAAAGCUUUUGUGGUUUUGGAUGGACUCGCGGCCUAUCAGCUUGUUGGUGGGGUAAUGGCCUACCAAGGCGACGACGGGUAGCCGGCCUGAGAGGGUGACCGGCCACACUGGGACUGAGACACGGCCCAGACUCCUACGGGAGGCAGCAGUGGGGAAUAUUGCACAAUGGGCGCAAGCCUGAUGCAGCGACGCCGCGUGAGGGAUGACGGCCUUCGGGUUGUAAACCUCUUUCAGUAGGGAAGAAGCGAAAGUGACGGUACCUGCAGAAGAAGCGCCGGCUAACUACGUGCCAGCAGCCGCGGUAAUACGUAGGGCGCAAGCGUUAUCCGGAAUUAUUGGGCGUAAAGAGCUCGUAGGCGGUUUGUCGCGUCUGCUGUGAAAGACCGGGGCUCAACUCCGGUUCUGCAGUGGGUACGGGCAGACUAGAGUGCAGUAGGGGAGACUGGAAUUCCUGGUGUAGCGGUGAAAUGCGCAGAUAUCAGGAGGAACACCGAUGGCGAAGGCAGGUCUCUGGGCUGUAACUGACGCUGAGGAGCGAAAGCAUGGGGAGCGAACAGGAUUAGAUACCCUGGUAGUCCAUGCCGUAAACGUUGGGCACUAGGUGUGGGGGACAUUCCACGUUUUCCGCGCCGUAGCUAACGCAUUAAGUGCCCCGCCUGGGGAGUACGGCCGCAAGGCUAAAACUCAA
rnacentral:rRNA from 1 species